rnacentral:rRNA from 1 species
GAAGCGACCUCGCGAGAGCAAGCGGACCUCAUAAAGUAUGUCGUAGUCCGGAUUGGAGUCUGCAACUCGACUCCAUGAAGUCGGAAUCGCUAGUAAUCGUAGAUCAGAAUGCUACGGUGAAUACGUUCCCGGGCCUUGUACACACCGCCCGUCACACCAUGGGAGUGGGUUGCAAAAGAAGUAGGUAGCUUAACCUUCGGGAGGGCGCUUACCACUUUGUGAUUCAUGACUGGGGUGAAGUCGUAACAAGGUAACCGUAGGGGAACCUGCGGUUGGAUCACCUCCUUACCUUAAAGAA